UACGGGGGGGGCAAGCGUUGUUCGGAAUUACUGGGCGUAAAGGGCCAGUAGGCGGCCAACUAAGUCCGACGUGAAAUCCCAAGGCUUAACCUUGGAACUGCGUCGGAUACUGGAUGGCUUGAAUUCGGGAGAGGGAUGCAGAAUUCCAGGUGUAGCGGUGAAAUGCGUAGAUAUCUGGAGGAACACCGGUGGCGAAGGCGGGUCUCUGGGCAGUAACUGACGCUGAGGAGCGAAAGCGUGGGGAGCGAACAGG
rnacentral:rRNA from 1 species